rnacentral:rRNA from 1 species
AGGAUGAACGCUGGCGGCGUGCUUAACACAUGCAAGUCGAACGGAAGUAGUAAUACUUCAGUGGCGCACGGGUGAGGAACACGUAGCUCAUCUGCCCUCAAGUGUGGGAUAACGCUCCGAAAGGAGUGCUAAUACCGCAUAAGCUCCCGGAUUGCAGAGGUCGUGGGAAGAAAAGGAGACAAUUCGCUU